AGUCGUCUCAUGGCACCCCGGAGUAUUCCCUUAUCGGCGACUUCCACAAAGAAAGUCUUAUUGGGCGCAUGUGAGAUUCGGUUGAAAAUGGUUAUACUGAUUGAGUAUGCCAAUUCUGAAAAUCCAACACAAAUCGCAAAGAAAUAGGGCGGCCAGAGUUAUCACAGAGACCACAGUCAUCCCUGCCAAGGCCAUUCUGCCUGCCGUGUUGGUCUGCGGCUCCCUGUCGUCACCUGUCCUCUAUUUAUACCAUCGCUGUCACCAUGGCUGCCAGGUGAACGUUUCUCAGUUGAGAAUCAGCUACCCUUUGUGCAGCGGCCACCCCAGAUUUUUUUUUGGGGGGGGAAUGAAGACUGUCAGAAACUUUUACAAAGUGCAUGAAAUAAGCUAUUUUUAAACUAAUAAGACACUUCUGAUCUGUAUAAGUUGCUUUAUUUCCCCAAUACAUUUUACCCUCUUUUUUAAUAUACAGCACAACUGUGAGAAAUGCAGCUUCAAAACAAAAGUUUUCCACAGUUUCCAUGUCAGCUACAAAAUAGCCUAAAUAUCUUCAUAUCUAAGGCUUUUGAAAUCAUUGUGUCCCAUUGAAAACCCAAUGCUGGCUAUUUUCUUCUGUGUUGGUAUCUGAUCAUGGCACGUCUUCUACAAAAACAUGGAAGGGUUUGUGAAAAUUGCCUGACAUACAAGUCUUAGUGCCCAUGUUCAUCCCUGUCCACUGUCAAAAGUGCCUGCAAUAGGCAUGAGAGUGUCAGAACUGCUCCUCGGAUCAAUGGAGGAAGAUUGCCUGCUCCCAUUUCUUGUUGCAUCAUGUGGACAAUUGUGUAUGUGUCAGGCACCUGUGGAAUGUGUUGGAACCACAUGUCCAAGCAGGGCUCAAUGUGCUGAGUCACAACACAUGACUCCUGUGACCAUCAUUAAAAUUAUGUGCCAUUUGUG